rnacentral:lncRNA from 1 species
AGUGACCCUUGCAGGAGCCCUUCAAAAAGUAACCAUUGGUUAGUUUGUCUCAUCAUCUUUUCGUAUGUUUCUGAAGGCCUCUUUCAAUUCUUUUGAUGUAGCCCACAGAAAAAAAGAAAAGAAAAAUGCCAGCAUGCAACUAACAUAUUUUUUAUUGUAUCAGGAUCCAUUUUAUUCAUCAUUAAUCAUCGUUGUACUGCCAUGAUUAAUGAUGUAGUUUAUUGGAAGUUUUCUUGGAAAAAAAACUGUAUGUAUCACACAAUAAAGAUCCACAUGCAUGGUAGCAGAGGUGGUCAGUUCUUGUAGCUCCCGGCGAAGUAGGCGAGGCAACCUACGAGGGGCGCGUUGGUGUAGGUGGUGGGCUCCGACCGCGCGUAGUCGGCGCGGUCGUCCGGGAACGCGUCGUUCUCAUCCGGCCCGCCAACGACGGCGCCGGUAAGCACGUUGGGAUUAGGCCCGGCGGCGUGGAGGUAGCUCUGGAAGCCCUCCUGGCAGCCGAUGCGCGCCGGGUGCGCGGCCACGGACGGCAUCGAGGACGCCCUGUGGUGGAUCCUCUGCGGUUAGCGCGCGCCGUAGCCCACCAUGUACGACAUCCCCAGCGGGUUGUCGCCCAGCACGUAGUCCACCUGCCGCUUGGCCAGGGCCCUCAGGGCCCUGUGGGUGACGCCGUGGCUCUGGCAGGAGAAUGCGCGGCGGUGGGAGGCGGCCAUGUACUUGGCGUAGGUGGUGAGCAGGAAGCUGGCCGAGGCGGCGUACUGCAUGUUGACGUUGCCUCGCCGGUGCAUCAGCCCGCCGGGCGUGUACGCCGUCGUUGACGACGGGGAGCUGGAGUUGGGCAGGAUGUGGCA